rnacentral:rRNA from 1 species
ACUACGUUUCGUGCUUUGGAAUGAGUACAGUCUAAACAUUUUAGCGAGGAUCAAGUCGAGGGCAAGUCUGGUGCCAGCAGCCGCGGUAAUUCCAGCUCGACAAAGGAACAUUAAAUUUGUUGCAGUUAAAAAGCUCGUAGUUGAAUUUCUUGUUUCUCGGGAUGUUUGCGUGGAGUAAUCCUCGUUUUGCAUGUCGAGGGCAAUGCUUGUACUUUUCUUCGAAAGAGGGUUUGUACAUCGUUUACUGUGACUUAAGUGACGCGUUCAUCGCAGGCUUUUGCUUGAACAACUCGCACGGAAUAAUAAAUUGAAUGUCUGAGAUUUAUUGGUUUACUUGGAUAUUUAUGUUUAACAGGAACAGUUGGGGUAACUUGUACUUUUAUGCUAGAGGUGAAAUUCUUGGAUUAUAAAAUGACAAACGACAGCGAAAGCAUUUUACAAGGAUGUUUUCAUUAAUCAAGAACGAAAGUUUGGGGAUCGAAGAUGAUUAGAUACCAUCGUAGUCCAAACCAUAAACGAUGCCGACUCGGGAUAUCCUAUUGUCUUUUGACAUUGGGUGAACCGUAUGAGAAAUCAAAGUUUUUGGGUUCCGGGGGGAGUAUGGUCGCAAGGCUGAAACUUAAAGGAAUUGACGGAAGGGCACACCAGAAGUGGAGCCUGCGGUUUAAUUUGACACAACACGGGGAAACUCACCAGGUCCAGACAUAACGAGGAUUGACAGUUUGAAAGCACUUUCUUGAUCUUAUGGGUGGUGGUGCAUGGCCGUUCUUAGUUGGUGGAGUGAUUUGUCUGGUUAAUUCCGAUAACGAACGAGACCUCUAUUGCUAACUAGCGAUGCUUAUUUUUAAUAUGCAAAGCUUCUUAGUGAGACAACUUAUUUUUAAAUAAGCGGAAGAGAGAGGCAAUAACAGGUCUGUGAUGCCCUUAGAUGUUCUGGGCCACACGCGCGCUACAAUGUCAGAUUCAAAAAGUUUUUCCUUGCUUGGAAAGGCAUGGGCAAUCUUAUAAUUUCUGACGUGAUGGGGCUAGAUUCUUGCAAUUAUUAAUCUUCAACGAGGAAUUUCUAGUAACCGUAAGUCAUCAACUUACAGUGAAUGCGUCCCUGCCCUUUGUACACACCGCCCGUCGCAGCUACCGAUUGGAAGGUCCGAUGAAAUCUUUGGAUUUGGUUUUUUGGGAGCAAUCCCAGCUGACCGGAGAAGCUGAUUAAAUCUUAUCUUCUAGAGGAAGCUGAAGUCGUAACAAGGU